AAUGAGGAAAUUAUUCUGGGAAUAAACAAUCAACACCACCACUGGACUUUAGUGGUGAUCUAUCCGCAAAAAAAAAAAGUCUUUGUUCUUGGAUCCACUGGGGGAAUCAAAACAAGAAAUCAAGAAAUGCUUGCAAAUCACAAGGGCAUUUAUGAGGAAGAAGGGGUGCAAUGUCUCACGUUGGACAUGUGACACUGUCAAGCAUCCAAAACAACAGGAUAGCACAUCAUGUGGUGCAUUUGCACCGAAGGUGCAUACAUAUUGUCACACAGUGUAUGACUUCAGGAUUUUGAUAUAUAUUUUUACACAUGCACAGGGAAUACUUUCUUUGUAACUUCAAUUUAAAUCCAUUAAAUGAAGCUGUACCUCUCAGUUUGCAGAAAUGAUCCUAGCAA